rnacentral:rRNA from 1 species
ACAGAGGGUGCAAGCGUUGUUCGGAAUUAUUGGGCGUAAAGGGCGCGUAGGCGGUGCUGUAAGUCUGUGGUGAAAUCUCUGGGCUCAACUCAGAGUCUGCCAUAGAAACUGCAGUGCUGGAGUGUGGGAGAGGUGAGUGGAAUUGCAGGUGUAGCGGUGAAAUGCGUAGAUAUCUGCAGGAACACCCGUGGCGAAAGCGGCGCGCUGGACCACAACUGACGCUGAAUGACGAAAGCUAGGGGAGCAAACAGGA